CAUUCCCUCUCACCCUUUCGUUGCGUCCUUCUCAUUCUCUUGAAACUUGCAGAGACUACUCAGUCUCUCUUGCUACUCCUAAACCUUCCCCAAUUCACUCCCUAAUUCAAAUUUCAAAUCCCAACUCAUUCCCUCCAAUCUAACAUUUCGAAAAUCAAAAACCACUUUCUCUGCGACAAGGCUGCCUCAAAGCCUUGUUAUUUGCUCUGCUGAGAGAGCUUCUCUAGCCAAGGCUUUGCUUUGAUUCUUGGCUUGCCUGGUAUCCACCUUGGCCCUGCUUGUUUUGAUGCUCUUAGUGCAAAGCUCAUGGAGAGAACAGGCUUUGAUUAUUGCUUCACUACUGGCAUAUUUUGACAUAUUACGCUGAGGGUAUUAUAGAGUUAAAGAUUCAAAGUUCCCCUCCUUAUGGCUUCGACAACUUAUGAUCCAGAACAAAGACUUUUAAGGCUUCUUGGUUAAAUCUAACGAUAUAUUCCCUCAAUGACUUAUUCCUCUCCUGCUUAAUGGUCUUUAAAUAGGAGGUUUCUCUCUUUGGCAGGAUGAUAGUUAUGAACUUGCCAAUGAACAUUUAGGUUAGCUGUGUGAAGGAGCUCAGCCUCUAAGCUAUUAUACCAAGAUUGUGCCAAAAGGAAGACCUUGCAAAGCAUUAUGUCAGAAGUGUUAUGGAGACUCAUCAUUAUCCUGUAAUUUUAAAGAUGAUCUUAAGAGAUCUCGUUCCAUCAUAACCUUCCAAGACUGGAACUAUAAAUUUUGGAAGGAGUGGUUCCUUUAUUUGCCAACGUAUUGUCCUGCAUUGCCUCUUUAAUUGUUAGGGUCGUUUGCUUGUGACUUUGGUUGAAAAUGCCUCAGUUGAAGAGACGAGGUAUGCAUCUUACCUUGUAAGUUGUUCGUCUUGGCUUCCAAGGUUCUAAGUUGUUGUUGCAUUUAAUCUUGAA